UUUAAUCGUAUGGAAAGGACUGUACCAUUCUGGAGUGAGGAGAACAUUUCUGCAGUUCUAAGGUGACUUGAACGACCGAAGGAAUUAAAGGAAUUCAAGGAAUUAUUUUUUUUAAAAUAGUCAUACUUGUACCACAGUUAAAUGUCACGCUAAAACAAUAAUAAGAGUUACUAGAUGGCAUGGCAGGGUAACAAAAUUAUUGUGCUAGUUGGUCCGUCCUUAUGUUAACCACUUCCUGGUUCACAGAACGUACCAAUUACUAUUCUCGGGCAGGGUGGGGAAAUAGUAUUGUAGCGUUGCGUGUGUGUUGUAUUCCGGGCUGUAGUUUCAUGCAUGGACGCUGGGGGGCAGUCAUGUUCAGCUCGCGGUUUUGGAGCGGGCGUUUUGGGACCAAGGAGGAAGAACGUGAGCGAAAAGGGGGAAGUUCGGUUGCCGGGCGCCGAAGUUAGUGAGUUAAGUCUGCAACAGGCCAGUAAGUUGUUUCUCAUGCUGAUUGGAAAUAAAAAAAACCAUGCAACGAUAGAGCCAUCCUGACUGCCGUCAUUCUACGACGCUACACUGGUGUCAGAAGUGACUUCGAACGUGAGCCUACUGUACUGUUUUGCCCGAGUCUUCGGCGGCGUCGAGUAUGAGCCACCGAGGGGAGCCGCGUGUGAAGGAGGAGGUGGAGAGCGACAGCGAGGUGGGCGCUGCCAGUUGGGAAGGGAGGGAGCGCCGAGAGAUGGUGAGAGCUUGUCGGGAGGCGUGGAGAGAAGCUGUCGGCAUGUCGAAGCUGUCACCGGCGGCCAAGAAUGGCGGCCUUGCAGCGUGCACAGAGAACAACGCGGUGGACGGCGCACCACGUGCAGUUGCGGCCAUGUGUCUGAAAACGCCCAAAUAUUCUGGGAAGGCUGACUGGGAGGCUUUUCACGCCCAAUUUGAGCUGAUUGCAAAUGCACAGCAGUGGUCCAAUAAAGACAAAGCUUUACAGUUGGCAGUGUGUCUCACGGAGGACGCCUUAUCUUGCCUUUUGCUCCUUGACCCAGAGAGUCGCCAUGAUUAUAAAGCUCUAGUGGGGGCGCUAAAGAGGCGUUUUGGACAGUGCGCACAACCGGGGCUCCUGAGAAAUGAACUGAGCUACAGGUGUCGCACUGCUGGAGAACCGCUGCGAACUCUGGCUUAUGCCAUUGAGAGCCUGUCAAGGCGGGCAUAUUCCCACAUGUCGCCAGAGGUACAAAGUGAGCUGGCACGCGACCAAUUUGUCAGAGCUCUUCGGCCCCCAGAACUAAGAGCUCAAGUUCAUCUGUUACACCCCCGCACCCUGCAAGAAGCCCUAGAAUUGGCUGUGGAGAGAGAAAUGGUGGAGAGCUCCAGCGUGGCAGAGGGGAGGGUCCUGCCGCCCACAGCGAGGUCAGCAGCAGGGAGUCAAGAGGCUGACUAUAAACCCCCUUGGGUGGCCGAAAUCACAGAACUGAUCAGGUCCGUGUCGCUACAGUCGCCACAACGCCCACGCCCUGGAGUGAGGGUAUGCUGGGGGUGUGGCCAGCCCGGUCACUUGAUCAGAGAAUGCCCUCGCUCGCCCCAGUCGUCGGGAAACGACCACGGGCCCGCAUAGUGGGGGAUGUGCGGACCCGAGAGGCUAACACCCCACAAGCUGCUGUGUCUACCACCUCCAGGGGGUCCCAAGUGAGCAUGGGCGUGGAGGCGAUUGGAGCUGUGGGGCGCACGUCGGACAAAGGCUCCAGCUACGUGAUGAUCCAAGUGGAGGGCGUGUUCUGUCCGGCCCUCAUAGACACGGGGGCAACGGUGACGCUGAUAAGGUCUGACGUGUGGCCGAAGAACGCCCAUCUUGAAAUGACAGCGGUAGCUCUACGCUCAGUCACAGGAGAGUGGUCCCCUCUCCAAGGGAAAGGACGACUGGCACUGUCGGUGGGGGGCAUGUCACUCCAGCACCCGGUAUGGAAAGCAGCCAUACAAGACCCGUGCAUCCUGGGUCUGGAUUUUUUGAAGGCGGCUGACUGUGUGAUGAACAUCGGAAGUGGGUGGAUCAGCUUUCAGGGGGGUCCUGCCAUUCCUAUGACCUCCCUGGAUUCCCUCGAUCCCCGGGCCAAGCACAUGGUAUGUGCACUGGAGGCCGCAGGCCCACCUCCGCCUUCGAGGGAGCCCCGCCGACAACCAGAGACAGCGGGCAGAGACUCUGUGAAAGAGGGAGCUGUGGACAGGACGCUGUGGGAGUUGUGGAAAAGGAACUGCAGUGGCCUGACCCCCAAGCAAGAGGAACGGCUGCUAAGCCUGCUGACGGACUUCAGUGAUACCUUCGCCAAGAACGACGAUGAAGGGGGUCUCACUCAUUUGACACAGCAUGAGAUUGACACGGGGGAGGCCAGGCCAAUUAAAUGCCGCCCCCGUCGCCUUCCCUUGGCCCGACACGCAGCUUGUGAGGAGGCUGUAGCUAAGCUGCUGCGAGCGGGUAUUAUCGAACCUUCCGACAGUCCAUGGACAUCGGCAGUUGUCAUGGUGCCAAAGAAGUCGGGGGAAUGGCGUCUCUGUGUUGACUACCGGACUGUCAAUGGGGUGACCAAGAAGGAUGCUUACCCACUGCCGCGCAUUGACGAGUCCUUAGACCUGGUCUCGGGCUCAUCCUGGUUCUCGUCCUUGGACCUCCGCAGUGGCUAUUAUCAGGUGCCCCUUUCCCAGGAGGCCCGACCCAAAACAGCGUUUUCCACCGGGAGGGGCCUUUGGCAGUUUAAGGUCCUCCCUUUUGGACUGUGCAAUGCACCAGCAACCUUUUCGAGGUUGAUGGACAGAGUGCUGGCCGGGGUCCCUCGCCAGCAGUGCCUCGUGUAUUUGGAUGACAUCCUGGCCCAUGGAAGCUCGUUCGAGACAGCGCUAAAGUCCCUGAGGGUGGUAUUGGAGAACAUCAGAGCAGCUGGCCUGAAAUUACACCCAGGAAAGUGCCACUUCAUGCAGAGAGAAGUGACAUUCCUGGGUCACCGCGUGGGAGGUGAAGGAGUCAGCACCCUGGCUGAUAAAGUGAAGGCGGUGGUGGAAUGGCCAGUGCCCACCAACCCGAAGCAGCUGAAAAGUUUCCUGGGGCUAGCCUCGUACUACAGGAGGUUCGUGCGAGGUUUUGCUGGCACAGCGGCACCCCUCUUCCAGCUACUCCAGAAGGGCCGAGACUUUGAGUGGUCUGACCCCUGCCAAAAAGCAUUCAACAGCCUUCAGCAAGCCCUGAGUGAGUCCCCAGUGCUAACAUCCGCGAAUCCGGACUUGCCCUUCAUCCUCGACACAGAUGCUAGCGGAGAGGGAGUAGGAGCGGUGCUGGCGCAGCCCACACCCGAAGGCGAGAGGGUCGUGGCCUACUUCAGCAGAGUGCUGGGCAAGGCUGAAAGGCGCUACUGUGUCACCCGCAGAGAGCUGCUGGCUGUGGUGCUGUCCAUCAGACACUUUAAAUAUUACUUAUGUGGCCAGCCUUUUACUGUGAGGACAGACCACUCAGCUCUCAGCUGGCUGAUGACCUUCAAGGAGCCAGAAGGGCAAGUGGCACGGUGGCUCGAAGAAUUACAGGCUUACAGCUUCAAGGUGGAGCACAGAGCCGGGACACGUCACUCCAACGCAGACGCGCUGUCCCGCCGCCCGUGUGCUGCAGAGGGCUGCCGCUAUUGUGACAGGAGAGAGGCCCGCGAGGAGGAGUUGUUGGAGGAAGCGGGUGGCGGCCUGUCGGAGUGCCGGGUUGCAGGAGUGAUGGCCAGGGAACUUCAGGCUGUGGGAGUCGCUGAGUGGGAGCAGAAGCAAGAGGAGGAUGGAGACCUGCAACCAGUCCGGAGGUGGGUGGAGUCUCAGCGACCUCCAGCAUGGGAGGAGAUAGCCCACACGUCAGCAGGGACUAAAGGCUUGUGGUCCAAGUUUGACACACUGCGGCUGAGCCAAGGGGUGCUGCAGCGGGCGUGGAGGGAGCCAGCGACAGGGGAAGAGAGGUGGCAGGUGGUUGUCCCAAGGUGUCUACAAGAGCCUGUGUUGGCUGCCAUGCACGGAGCGGCUGGUUCUGGACACUUUGGUGUGGCUAAGACCCUGCGCCGCCUUCGCCAAAGCUUCUACUGGGGCCGCUGCAGGAGAGAUGUGGAGGAUUUUUGCCGCCGCUGCGACUUGUGCACAGCGAGGAAGGGCCCCCCUGGCCGCUCCUGUGCCCCACUGCAGCAGGCCCUCAUGGGAGCGCCCAUGGAAAGAGUGGCAGUCGACAUUGUGGGACCGCUGCCGCGCUCCGAUCGCGGGAAUCGUUAUGUCCUGUCAGCCAUCGACUACUUCACACGGUGGCCAGAGGCGUACCCGCUACCCGACCAGGAAGCCGAGACAGUCGCUAGCGCCUUGAUAGAGGGAAUGUUUAGCCGCUUUGGAGUUCCAGAGACGCUGCAUAGUGACCAAGGAAGAAAUUUUGAGUCACGAGUGUUUGCAGAAAUGUGUGGGCGGCUGGGCAUCAGAAAGACACGCACAACCCCUCUGCGGCCCCAGAGUGACGGGUUGGUGGAAAGAUUUCAUCGCACUCUGGGUGAGCAGCUGGCCAUUUUGACAUCACGGCACCAGAAGGACUGGGAUGAUCAUCUUCCCCUGGUGCUCAUGGCCUGUCGCUCUGCUGUACAGGAGUCUACAGCCUGCACGCCAUCCCUGCUCAUGCUGGGGAGGGAGCUCCGUACGCCAGCCGAGUUGUCCUUUGGCCGCCCCCCAGAGACCACAGAGCCAGUCCCUGGUCCAGAGUAUUCCAGGAAACUCCAGGACCGGCUGGAGGCCGCUCACGAGUUCGCCCGGCAGCAGCAACAGAGGGCAGGCAGGCGACAGAAGAGGAACUAUGACCUGAAAGCAAGAGGGAGGCAUUUCCAACAGGACGAACAGGUGUGGGUCUACCUCCCACAGCGCAAGAAGGGGCGGUGCCCCAAACUGGACAGCCCUUGGACGGGGCCGUGCAGAGUUCUGGAGAGAGUCGGGGAAGUCGUGUACAGAGUGCAGCUGCCAGACCGAGGAAGGAAAGUGGUUCUUCAUCGGGACCGGCUGGCGCCAUACCGGGGAGUGCAGGGAGUGGGCCAUAGGGCCCCUGCUCCACCAGAGGCGGACGGGAGACGUUCACCACUCCCAGCUCAGGAUGGAGAGCCGCCCGGGCUGGCAGCGCCAGAGGUGGGACAGCCGGUUUCACCAUCCGCUGGAACUCCCCCCAUAGCGAGGCGCCCGAGGAGGAGAAGGCCGCCACGGUAUCUCAGAGACUAUGUGGGUCACAAUGUUGGGGGGAGCACUUGAAAUUGUGUUACGCUGUUGCUAAUGUUCAUUGAUUGUUGCUGAUUCUCUGUGCCCUCGGGGCGAGGGCCUUUGUGGGGCGGGGGUAGUGUAGCGUUGCGUGUGUGUUGUAUUCCGGGCUGUAGUUUCAUGCAUGGACGCUGGGGGGCAGUCAUGUUCAGCUCGCGGUUUUGGAGCGGGCGUUUUGGGACCAAGGAGGAAGAACGUGAGCGAAAAGGGGGAAGUUCGGUUGCCGGGCGCCGAAGUUAGUGAGUUAAGUCUGCAACAGGCCAGUAAGUUGUUUCUCAUGCUGAUUGGAAAUAAAAAAAACCAUGCAACGAUAGAGCCAUCCUGACUGCCGUCAUUCUACGACGCUACAGUAUGGACACGACAAAAAGAGAAGAUGUUGGCUAACAAAUGUGCAAAUUCUAAUGUUACCUUAUUUGUGUUUAUGUGUUAGUUAGUAGGCUAAUUUGUAAAAUUAGCAAGGGAGUCAUAUUUUCUAUGCCGCUUCUGUGGAUCCAUUCAGUAAUUUAUUAAUGCACAUUUUGCGCCAAAGUAUAACCUCUUGACAUGUUGUUGUGCUUUGAUAUAAUGUACACAUGCUUAAAACACCAAAUAAAAACAUUACAAUUAUGAUUAAUUCAUUCAACAUUUCAUACUUUGAGCAACCUUUUUCGGUCAGUCGGUUCUCAGCAAAGCUGUGUAAUGUCUCCCUCUGCAGGAAGAUGCUUCAGAGCCAAACUAAACACUUAUUGCAGUGUGGUCCUCUCUGAUGAUGGAGGGAAGCAAAUAAGUGCAUGUCAGACGUUUAUAAUGUGGAUAGAAUACGUCUGCUGUUUGUAAGUCAACACUUCAGUCAUUUCUCACAUCUUUUUUGGGGGUGGUCCUGUUGUUGUAGCUGCUUGGGAGACAAAAGAGGCCAAUAGCAAUAAUGUUGCUGUCAAGCUUGUGAAGGAGGCAAGGUUUUAUGAAGGUGAUGGAAUAAACACGCCGGCCCUAUUCCUUCUCAUGGUCUUCCCAAUGCCUUCAAAGACUGCAACAAAAUGGUGACAGACACGAGGGGGCAGCAACGAAACUUUAACCUAGUUUGGCUACUACACUAGAAUACACGAAGAAGAACCAUACCCGGACGUAAACCGGGAGGUGUGUACGGGUUUGGUUGUCCAGCGGGAAAAAAAGGUGUCGUUUCUUGAAGGAUGGCAU